UACGUAGGUGGCAAGCGAUACUCGGAAUCACUAGGCGUAAAGCGCAGGUAGGCGGCUUGAUAAGUCUUUUGUGAAGCUCCUGGCUUAACUGGGAGAGGUCAAAGGAAACUGUCAGGCUAGAGUUUGGUAGGGGAUACUGGAAUUCCUGGUGUAGCGGUGAAAUGCGUAGAUAUCAGGAGGAAUACCUAUGGCGAAAGCAGGUACUGGGCCACACUGACGUGAGCUGCGAAAAGCUAGGGGGAGCAAAACAGG
rnacentral:rRNA from 1 species